rnacentral:lncRNA from 1 species
GGCUUUGUCUCGUGGGCUGGUCCCCAGCGGCUCCCUCCCCGAACAGCUGCUGCUCCAGGGAGGAAGCGGCGCGGGUGCUGUCCAGCUUCCCGGUGCUGAAAACCGGAGGGCUCGUCAUCCACCACUACCAUGUAAGGGCCAUGAGAAGGGCUCAUCCUGGCGCAGCGCGGACAUGGAGGAGGACUUAUUCCAGCUAAGGCAGCUGCC